rnacentral:misc_RNA from 1 species
AGUCGUAACAAGGUUUCCGUAGGUGAACCUGCGGAAGGAUCAUUAACGAAUAGUUCUUCGGAACAUUUCAUCCUUACACACCUGUGAAUUUUUAAAAAGAUACUUUGCUUUGGUCAGACUUUUGUUAGUUUGGCCAGAGGUAUACAAACUCCAAAUUUUAUUUUUAAACAUGAGUCUGAAUUGAAGAAAAAGAAUAAAUUAUUCAAAACUUUCAACAACGGAUCUCUUGGUUCUCGCAUCGAUGAAGAACGCAGCGAAAUGCGAUAAGUAAUGUGAAUUGCAGAAUUUCGUGAAUCAUCGAAUCUUUGAACGCACAUUGCGCCCCUUGGUAUUCCAGGGGGCAUACGUGUAUGAGCGUCAUUUCUCUCUUAAACCCUCGGGUUUAGUGUUGAACCUUUUUCCCUUCAAUUGUGAAGGGAUGGCUCGAAAUGAAAUGGCAAGGCAAUCCAGUCUUAAAGCUUACACAGUGUCUUAGGUUUUACCAAUUACGCUGGGCAAAGCUUGCUUGGAUGGGCCGGGCGGUACAAACUUGUUUUUUUAAAAGUUUGACCUCAUACACGUAAGAAUACCCGCUGAACUUAAGCAUAUCAAUAAGCGGAGGAAAAGAAACCAACAGGGAUUGCCUCAGUAACGGCGAGCGAAGCGGCAAAAGCUCAAAUUUGAAAUCUGGCGUC